GACGAACGCUGGCGGCGUGCUUAACACAUGCCAGUCGAACGGAAAGGCCCUGCUUUUGUGGGGUGCUCGGGUGGCGAACGGGUGAGUAACACGUGAGUAACCUGCCCUUGACUUUGGGAUAACUUCAGGAAACUGGGGCUAAUACCGGAUAGGAGCUCCUGCUGCAUGGUGGGGGUUGGAAAGUUUCGGCGGUUGGGGAUGGACUCGCGGCUUAUCAGCUUGUUGGUGGGGUAGUGGCUUACCAAGGCUUUGACGGGUAGCCGGCCUGAGAGGGUGACCGGCCACAUUGGGACUGAGAUACGGCCCAGACUCCUACGGGAGGCAGCAGUGGGGAAUAUUGCACAAUGGGCGGAAGCCUGAUGCAGCAACGCCGCGUGCGGGAUGACGGCCUUCGGGUUGUAAACCGCUUUCGCCUGUGACGAAGCGUGAGUGACGGUAAUGGGUAAAGAAGCACCGGCUAACUACGUG
rnacentral:rRNA from 1 species